GAGCGAAUGGAUUAAGAGCUUGCUCUUAUGAAGUUAGCGGCGGACGGGUGAGUAACACGUGGGUAACCUGCCCAUAAGACUGGGAUAACUCCGGGAAACCGGGGCUAAUACCGGAUAACAUUUUGAACCGCGUGGUUCAAAAUUGAAAGGCGGCUUCCGCUGUCUCUUAUGGAUGGACCCGCGUCGCAUUAUCUAUUUGGUGAGGUAACGGCUCACCAAGGCAACUAUGCGUACCCGACCUGAGAGGGUGAUCGGCCACUCUGGGACUGACACACGGCCCACACUCCUACGGGAGGCAGCAGUAGGGAAUCUUCCGCAGUGGACGAAAGUCUGACAGAGCAACGCCGCGUGAGUGAUGAAGGCUUUCAGGUCGUAAAUCUCUGGUGUUAGGGAAGAACAUGUGCUACUUGAAUAAGGUGGCACCUUGACGGUACCUAACCAGAAAGCCACGGCUAACUACGUGCCAGCAGCCGCGGUAAUACAUAUGUGGCAAGCGUUAUCCGGAAUUAGUGGGCGUAAAGCGCGCGCAGGUGGUUUCUUAAGUCUGAUGUGAAAGCCCACGGCUCAACCGUGGAGGGUCAUUGGAAACUGGGACACUUGAGUGCAGAAGAAGAGAGUGGAAUUCCAUGUGUAGCGGUGAAAUGCAUAGAGAUGUGGAAGAACACCAGUGGCGAACGCGACUCUCUGGUCUGUCACUGACUCUGAAGCGCGAAAGCGUGGGGAGCACACAAGAUUAGAUACCCUGGUAGUCCACGCCGUACACGAUGAGUGCUAAGUGUUAGAGGGUUUCCGCCCUAUAGUGCUGAAGUUCACGCAUUAAGCACUCCGCCUGGAGAGUACGGCCGCAAGGCUGAAACUCAAGGGAAUUGACGGGGGCCCGCACACGCGGUGGAGCAUGUGGUUUAAUU
rnacentral:rRNA from 1 species